UGACUGACUCUGCCUCCCUGCGCUGC
rnacentral:piRNA from 1 species